rnacentral:rRNA from 2 species
AUGGUUAAGUUAGAAAGGGCGCACGGUGAAUGCCUUGGCACUAGGAGCCGAUGAAGGACGGGACUAACACCGAUAUGCUUCGGGGAGCUGUAAGUGAGCUUUGAUCCGGAGAUUUCCGAAUGGGGAAACCCACUGUUCGUAAUGGAACAGUAUCUUUAUCUGAAUACAUAGGAUAUUGAAGGCAGACCCGGGGAACUGAAACAUCUAAGUACCCGGAGGAAGAGAAAGCAAAUGCGAUUUCCUGAGUAGCGGCGAGCGAAACGGAAUUAGCCCAAACCAAGAGGCUUGCCUCUUGGGGUUGUAGGACACUCUAUACGGAGUUACAAAGGAACGAAGUAAAUGAAGCGACCUGGAAAGGUCCGUCGAAGAAGGUAACAACCCUGUAGUUGAAACUUCGUUCCCUCUUGAGUGGAUCCUGAGUACGGCGGAACACGUGAAAUUCCGUCGGAAGCUGGGAGGACCAUCUCCCAAGGCUAAAUACUACCUAGUGACCGAUAGUGAACCAGUACCGUGAGGGAAAGGUGAAAAGCACCCCGGAAGGGGAGUGAAAGAGAUCCUGAAACCGUGUGCCUACAAGUAGUCAGAGCCCGUUAACGGGUGAUGGCGUGCCUUUUGUAGAAUGAACCGGCGAGUUACGAUCCCAUGCAAGGUUAAGCUGAUAAGGCGGAGCCGUAGCGAAAGCGAGUCUGAAUAGGGCGUUUAGUAUGUGGUUGUAGACCCGAAACCAGGUGAUCUACCCAUGUCCAGGGUGAAGUUCAGGUAACACUGAAUGGAGGCCCGAACCCACGCACGUUGAAAAGUGCGGGGAUGAGGUGUGGGUAGCGGAGAAAUUCCAAUCGAACCUGGAGAUAGCUGGUUCUCUCCGAAAUAGCUUUAGGGCUAGCCUCAUGUUGUGAGAGUCUUGGAGGUAGAGCACUGAUUGGACUAGGGGCCCCCAACGGGUUACCGAAUUCAGUCAAACUCCGAAUGCCAAAGACUUAUCCAUGGGAGUCAGACUGCGAGUGAUAAGAUCCGUAGUCAAAAGGGAAACAGCCCAGACCACCAGCUAAGGUCCCCAAGUAUACGUUAAGUGGAAAAGGAUGUGGAGUUGCUUAGACAACCAGGAUGUUGGCUUAGAAGCAGCCACCAUUUAAAGAGUGCGUAAUAGCUCACUGGUCGAGUGACUCUGCGCCGAAAAUGUACCGGGGCUAAACGUAUCACCGAAGCUGUGGAUUGACAUCUUUGAUGUCAGUGGUAGGAGAGCGUUCUAAGUGCUGUGAAGUCAGACCGUAAGGACUGGUGGAGCGCUUAGAAGUGAGAAUGCCGGUAUGAGUAGCGAAAGACAAGUGAGAAUCUUGUCCACCGAAUGCCUAAGGUUUCCUGAGGAAGGCUCGUCCGCUCAGGGUUAGUCGGGACCUAAGCCGAGGCUGAAAAGCGUAGGCGAUGGCCAACAGGUUGAUAUUCCUGUACCACCUCCCCGCCGUUUGAGUAAUGGGGGGACGCAGUAGGAUAGGGUAAGCGCGCUGCUGGAUAUGCGCGUUCAAGCAGUUAGGCUGAUGAGUAGGCAAAUCCGCUCAUCAUAAAGGCUGAGCUGUGAUGACGAGGGAAUUAUAGUACCGAAGUUCCUGAUUCCACACUGCCAAGAAAAGCCUCUAGCGAGGCGGGAGGUGCCCGUACCGCAAACCGACACAGGUAGGCGAGGAGAGAAUCCUAAGGUGAUCGAGAGAACUCUCGUUAAGGAACUCGGCAAAAUGACCCCGUAACUUCGGGAGAAGGGGUGCUCUGGUAGGGUGUAUAGCCCGAGAGAGCCGCAGUGAAUAGGCCCAGGCGACUGUUUAGCAAAAACACAGGUCUCUGCGAAGCCGCAAGGCGAAGUAUAGGGGCUGACGCCUGCCCGGUGCUGGAAGGUUAAGAGGAGGGGUUAUCCUUUGGGAGAAGCUCUGAAUCGAAGCCCCAGUAAACGGCGGCCGUAACUAUAACGGUCCUAAGGUAGCGAAAUUCCUUGUCGGGUAAGUUCCGACCCGCACGAAAGGCGUAACGAUCUGGGCACUGUCUCAACGAGAGACUCGGUGAAAUUAUAGUACCUGUGAAGAUGCAGGUUACCCGCGACAGGACGGAAAGACCCCGUGGAGCUUUACUGUAGCCUGAUAUUGAAUUUUGGUACAGCUUGUACAGGAUAGGUAGGAGCCUGAGAAGCCGGAGCGCUAGCUUCGGUGGAGGCGUCGGUGGGAUACUACCCUGGCUGUAUUGAAAUUCUAACCCGCGGCCCUGAUCGGGCCGGGAGACAGUGUCAGGUGGGCAGUUUGACUGGGGCGGUCGCCUCCUAAAAUGUAACGGAGGCGCCCAAAGGUUCCCUCAGAAUGGUUGGAAAUCAUUCGUAGAGUGUAAAGGCACAAGGGAGCUUGACUGCGAGACCUACAAGUCGAGCAGGGACGAAAGUCGGGCUUAGUGAUCCGGUGGUUCCGCAUGGAAGGGCCAUCGCUCAACGGAUAAAAGCUACCCCGGGGAUAACAGGCUUAUCUCCCCCAAGAGUCCACAUCGACGGGGAGGUUUGGCACCUCGAUGUCGGCUCAUCGCAUCCUGGGGCUGUAGUCGGUCCCAAGGGUUGGGCUGUUCGCCCAUUAAAGCGGUACGCGAGCUGGGUUCAGAACGUCGUGAGACAGUUCGGUCCCUAUCCGUCGUGGGCGUAGGAAAUUUGAGAGGAGCUGUCCUUAGUACGAGAGGACCGGGAUGGACACACCGCUGGUGUACCAGUUGUCUUGCCAAAGGCAUCGCUGGGUAGCUAUGUGUGGACGGGAUAAGUGCUGAAAGCAUCUAAGCAUGAAGCCCCCCUCAAGAUGAGAUUUCCCAUAGCGCAAGCUAGUAAGAUCCCUGAAAGAUGAUCAGGUUGAUAGGUCAGAGGUGGAAGCGUGGCGACAUGUGUAGCUGACUGAUACUAAUCGAUCGAGGACUUAACCAAAUUUUAAAAGUGU